GACGAACGCUGGCGGCGUGCCUAAUACAUGCAAGUAGAACGCUGAAGAGGGGAGCUUGCUCUUCUUGGAUGAGUUGCGAACGGGUGAGUAACGCGUAGGUAACCUGCCUUGUAGCGGGGGAUAACUAUUGGAAACGAUAGCUAAUACCGCAUAACAAUGGAUGACACAUGUCAUUUAUUUGAAAGGGGCAAUUGCUCCACUACAAGAUGGACCUGCGUUGUAUUAGCUAGUAGGUGAGGUAACGGCUCACCUAGGCGACGAUACAUAGCCGACCUGAGAGGGUGAUCGGCCACACUGGGACUGAGACACGGCCCAGACUCCUACGGGAGGCAGCAGUAGGGAAUCUUCGGCAAUGGGGGCAACCCUGACCGAGCAACGCCGCGUGAGUGAAGAAGGUUUUCGGAUCGUAAAGCUCUGUUGUAAGUCAAGAACGAGUGUGAGAGUGGAAAGUUCACACUGUGACGGUGGCUUACCAGAAAGGGACGGCUAACUACGUG
rnacentral:rRNA from 1 species